GUACUUGCUUCGGCAGCACAUAUGCUAAGAUUGGAACAAUAUAGAAAAGAUUAUUAUGGCCCUUGCUCAAGGAUGACACACAAAUACAUGAAGCAUUCCAUAUUUAA